rnacentral:rRNA from 1 species
AGAUUGAACGCUGGCGGCAGGCCUAACACAUGCAAGUCGAGCGGCAGCACGGGUACUUGUACCUGGUGGCGAGCGGCGGACGGGUGAGUAAUGCCUAGGAAUCUGCCUGAUAGUGGGGGAUAACGUUCGGAAACGGACGCUAAUACCGCAUACGUCCUACGGGAGAAAGUGGGGAU